rnacentral:rRNA from 1 species
CCCGCACAAGCGGCGGAGCAUGCGGAUUAAUUCGAUGCAACGCGAAGAACCUUACCAAGGCUUGACAUACAUCGGUAACGCCCAGAGAUGGGUGCCCCUUUGUGGUCGGUGGACAGGUGGUGCAUGGUUGUCGUCAGCUCGUGUCGUGAGAUGUUGGGUUAAGUCCCGCAACGAGCGCAACCCUCGUCCUAUGUUGCCAGCGGGUCAUGCCGGGGACUCAUGGGAGACUGCCGGGGUCAACUCGGAGGAAGGUGGGGAUGACGUCAAGUCCUCAUGGCCCUUAUAGGUGGGGCUACACACGUCAUACAAUAGAUGGUACAAAGGGUCGCCAACCCGCGAGGGGGAGCCAAUCCCAUAAAGCCAUUCGUAGUCCGGAUCGCAGUCUGCAACUCGACUGCGUGAAGUCGGAAUCGCUAGUAAUCGUGGAUCAGAAUGUCACGGUGAAUACGUUCCCGGGUCUU